rnacentral:lncRNA from 1 species
UUUCACUCUCCCACCUCCCCACAUGUGCAUAUGCACUUGCCUUCUGUACUUUUCACCCCUAGAACACAGACUGUGUUUCUUCACAUGUCCAUAGAAUGGCUUUUUACAAGGAGGCUUCAACUCUGGUCACAUCAGGGGUUCUAUUUUUCUGUAAAGAAAAUAAUUAAUAUCUUCAUUAACAGAGCAAAUCCCUUCCCCUGCAGGUUUUUCAUAGAUAGAUAGAUUUAGUCUUAUUCCAGCAAUCAGACUUGCUUGGCUGCUGUUUAAAUAAGAGAAUUCUUGCCUUGUCAUGGAGGAGAGCUGAGGCAACCUCUCUAAAUACAGAACAGACAAAGCUUGAGGAGCCACGACAUCAAAUGAAAUCCCAGAGCACUGCAAAGCCAGAAAGGUCCCAACACGAUGUUCCUCUGGUGGAAUUACCUCGGAACACGUUGACGCAACAAGAGGAGCGGAACCGCUCUUGCAAAUUCUCUUCGUCUCUGGGUGAUUGGAUUGGUGCUUCCUGCAUUUUGUAUUUGCAGUGCUCUGUAAGAUGUAUACAGCAAGAUAUGGAGGCAAUCCUGAAAGACUCAAGAGGACAAAAAGAUGAAGGAUUUAGGAUGCUAACAUGCCCAAACAGUGAACACAGAGAAGAACCAAUAAAACUUGCCUGCUUUGAAAGUAGAAGAAAUUUAUCAAGGUUGCAGAAGACCUGAGGUAUGAAAAAUCAGCAUUCCAGAAGGACAAAAACCAGAAAGAGACCACUCACACAACCACCAGCCUUCCUCAAAC